AGCAGUUGCCUCUUUGGGUUGUUGUGAGGCUUCUAUGCUAAUCUUGAGUGUAAAACAGUGGACCAUGGGAAGUGGUUAGAAUGGUGCCAUUCAUAUAGUUAAGCGCUCAGUAAAUAGCCCUUCUUACUAUACAGGUCAUGAUUGCAUUAUUAAUGCUAAAUCCAGCCUGAGGGUGCAUUUCACCCCCAGAAGCAGCGAAUCCAACCCUUUCCCAAGUAACUGACAAGGAAACUGAGGCCCAGAGCAGGGCAGGGGGUGGCACAAGGUUCCUGCAGAGGUUGAUAGCCUGGCAUCUUGGCCAAUAAAACCAUACCCGUUCUCAAGCAACCCAACUUCCUUCAUUAGGAGGUAGGUUCCCCAGGGAGCUAGUUCAGAAAUAAAUUUAAGGACAUGUCCCAGACUGUCCUUUCUUACCCAGCAGGGAGUAAAAUCAUAUAAACAAUGUCAGGAAGGGGUUGAGAGAAAUUCCUGGAUGAUGGAGUGCUGAUGGGUAAUUGAGAGAUUCUCGGAGGCAGAGGGACAGAAGAAAACAGGAACAGAGGACUGGCCGCCAUGGCUCACGCCUGUAAUCCCAGCACUUUGGGAGGCUGAGGAGGGUGGAUCACCUGAGGUCAGGAGUUUGAGACCAACCUGGCUAACAUCGUGAAAUCCCAUCUCCACUAAAAAAAAAAAAAAAUUUAGCCGGGCAUGGUGGCGGGCACCUGUAAUCCCAGGUACUCUGGAGGCUGAGGCAGGAGAAUCGCUUGAACCUGGGAGGUAGAGGUUGCAGUGAGCCGAGAUCACGCCGCUGCACUCCAGUCUUGGCGACAGAGCGAGACUCCGUCUCAAAAAAAAAAAAAAAAAAAAAAGGAAAACAGGAACAGAGGAGUGGUGUGUAGGAGGAAACAUACAUUCAGGACACAGAAUCAGGGGGCUCUGGACUUCUUUGGUAUCCAGUCUGACUCUCUGAGUGUCCUUUGUCAAGCUCCUGGCACUGAGGGACCUGCGUUUCCUCAUCUUUACUGAUGGUGCUGGUGUGUGUGUGAACCCUGAUAUUCUGAAUUACUAAGAAUGCCAGGAUUCCAUAAAAACAACCUUUUCCAGGGUCCCUUCCACACGGAAGGUAUGCAGAAACUUGGGACUACCUAAGGUCCAUCAUCCAUUUGGGACCAGCCCCCUUCCCAUUUUACAGAUCGUUUGAGCCUGGGAGGUUGAAGCUGUGGUGAGCCAUGAGCUCCACUGCACUCCAGCCUAGGCAACACAACAAGACCCUGUCUCAAAAAACAUAAAAUUUCUGUCCCCAGGCCGGGCGCAGUGGCUCACGCCUGUAAUCCCAGCACUUUGGGAGCACCCUUUUCCUGGAAUGAGUGAGGUACUCGUGUUUCAUAAUCCCUCUGGCCCCUGUGCUUCUUCCAUUAAAAUAAAUCCAAGGCUGGGCACGGUGGCUCAAGCCUGUAAUCCCAGCACUUUGAGAGGCUGAGGUGGGAGGAUCACUUGAGGCCAGGAUUUCAAGAUCAGCCUGGCCAACAUGGAGAAACCCCGUCUCUACUAAAAAUACAAAAAUUAGCCAGGCGUGGUGGUGCAUGCCUGUAAUCCCAGCUACUCAGGAAGCUGAGGCACAAGAGUUGCCUGAUCCCAGGAGGCGGAGGUUGCAGUGAGCCGAGAUCGGAGGGACUCCAGACUGGUCCUGGUGGGGGCUGAGGGAUUGGGAUGAAGUCAGUUCACCGCUGACUGCAGUGCCUGUUGGGAGAGAGGACAGCAGUGAGGGAGUCAUGGACACUCCAACCUUCUUCUCCCCACACUCCUCACCAUAAUUGCUGUGAACUGCAGAGACUGGACACCCCAACAAUGCCUAGCUCAUGCCUGUAAUCUCAACACUUUGGGAGGCCGAGGUGGGAGGUUCGCUUGAGCCUAGGAGUUCAAGACCAGCCUGGGCAAUGCAGUGAGACCCAGUCUCUACAAAAAAUAAAAAUAAAAAUAUUAGCCAGGUGUGGUGGCCUCCCAAAAUGCUAGGAUUAUAGGAGUGAGCCACCAUGCCCGGCCAAUUUAUGGAUAUUACUUCUUUGAAAUUUUCAAGACUCCUAUGAGGAAAGUAGUUGUUCUUUCUCUUUGACAAACUGAGGCACAGAGCUGUUCCAAGACCUGUCCAAGGUCCUGAUGUCUAGAGUGCAGCCAUCUCUGCUCUCAGUCCUCAUCUCCAGCCUGUGCUUCAGUUUCCACCCCAGAAUAACUGGACAGGCCAGGCACAGUGGCUCAUGCCUGUAAUCCCAGCACUUUGGGAGGCCAAGGCGGGAGGAUCGCCUGAGGUCAGGAGUUCAAGAUCAGCCUGGCCAACAUGGUGAAACCCUGUCUCUACUAAAAAUACAAAAAUUAGCUGGGCGUGGUGGCACAUACCUGUAAUCCCAGCUACUCGGGAUGCUGAGGCGAGAGGAUUGCUUGAGCCCAGGAGGCAGAGGUUGCAGUGAGCUGAGAUAGCAUCACUGCACUCCAGCCUGGGAGACAAGAGAGGAACUCCAUCUCAAAAAAAAG
rnacentral:lncRNA from 1 species